GACGAACGCUGGCGGCGUGCUUAACACAUGCAAGUCGAACGGGAUCCGGGCUUUCGGGUUUGGGGAGGGUGGCGAACGGGUGAGUAACACGGGAGUAACCUGCCCCCUUCUUUGGGAUAACGUGGGGAAAUCGGCGCUAAUACUGGAUAUUUUUGCUGCAUCGCAUGGUGGGGUUUGGAAAGGGUUUCUGUGGGGGGAUGGGCUGGCGGCCUAUCAGCUUGUUGGUGGGGUGAUGGCCUACCAAGGCUUUGACGGGUAGCCGGCCUGAGAGGGGGUCCGGCCACACUGGGACUGAGACACGGCCCAGACUCCUACGGGAGGCAGCAGUGGGGAAUAUUGCACAAUGGGCGCAAGCCUGAUGCAGCGACGCCGCGUGAGGGAUGACGGCCUUCGGGUUGUAAACCUCUUUCAGUAUGGAACAAGGAUCCUUCUUUUGGGGGGUUUGAGGGUACGUGCAGAAGAAGCGCCGGCUAACUACGUG
rnacentral:rRNA from 1 species